GGCAGGACAUGUGAACACACAGCCAGUGGACUUGAUCUGUCCACAUACUCGGCCUUUCAUCCUGACAAGCAGGACCCUGUGUGAAGAAGAGGAAGCGCUGUCCUUACUCCAAACAGCAGACCACAGAGCUGGAGAGAGCGUUUCUGUUCAACACUUACAUCAACAAGGACAGACGUAUGCAGCUGUCCCGCCUUCUGCACCUGACAGAUCGACAGGUGAAAGUCUGGUUCCAGAACAGAAGAAUGAAAGAGAAGAAACUGAAAAGAGACAGAGUGCAGUGCUGCUCAGGAUACCACUUGUUCUGAUGGAUGGACGGGGGGGAAGAAAGAAGGACAUUAAUAGAUGGUUCUUCUUUUCUUUUCAUGCACAAACUGUGAAAAGACCCUGCAAACUGUGUCACAGCACUGUAUAGUUCCUAUCCUACAGGUUAAUAGAGACAAAUAAAUAAAGCUAGUUAUUUCCAACAGGGAACUCCAAGGCUCAGGU